rnacentral:rRNA from 1 species
GUCUACGGCCAUGCCACCCUGAACAAGCCCGAUGUCUGAUCUCAGAAGCUAAGCAGGGUCAGGCCUGGUUAGUACUUGGAUGAGAGAGCACCUAGGGAGACCAGGUGCUGUAGGCA